AGGUACGGCCCACCAAGGCGACGAUCAGUAGCCGGCCUGAGAGGGUGAACGGCCACAUUGGGACUGAGACACGGCCCAAACUCCUACGGGAGGCAGCAG
rnacentral:rRNA from 1 species